AGGGUUUGAUUCUGGCUCAGAAUGAACGUUGGCGGCGUGGAUUAGGCAUGCAAGUCGAGCGGAAGUAGCAAUACUUUAGCGGCGAAAGGGACAGUAAUACGUAGAUACGUACCCUCAGGACUGGGAUAGCUACGGGAAACUGUAGGUAAUACCAGAUAACGUCUCCGGACCAAAGGUGUGAGUCCGCCUGAGGAGCGGUCUGCGUCCUAUUAGCUUGUUGGUGAGGUAAUGGCUCACCAAGGCAUUGAUGGGUAGCGGGUGUGAGAGCACGACCCGCGUCAUUGGGACUGAGAUACUGCCCAGACACCUACGGGUGGCUGCAGUCGAGGAUCUUCGGCAAUGGGCGCAAGCCUGACCGAGCGACGCCGCGUGUGGGAUGAAGGCUUUCGGGUUGUAAACCACUGUCAGUGGGGAGGAAAUUUAUGAGGGUACUCCCUCAUAAUUGACCUAUCCGCAGAGGAAGCAAGGGCUAAGUUCGUGCCAGCAGCCGCGGUAAGACGAACCUUGCUAACGUUAUUCGGAAUUACUGGGCUUAAAGGGUGCGUAGGCGGUGCAGCAAGUCGGGUGUGAAAGCCCUCAGCUCAACUGAGGAAUUGCGUCCGAAACUGCUGUGCUUGAGGAAUACAGAGGUAUGCGGAACUUAGGGUGAGCGGUGAAAUGCGUUGAUAUCCUAAGGAACACCGGUGGCGAAGGCGGCAUACUGGGUAUUUUCUGACGCUCAUGCACGAAAGCUAGGGUAGCGAACGGGAUUAGAUACCCCGGUAGUCCUAGCAGUAAACUCUGAGCACUUGGUUGAAGGGUCCUCCAUAGCCUUUUAGCCGUAGCGAAAGUGUUAAGUGCUCCGCCUGGGGAGUAUGGUCGCAAGGCUGAAACUCAAAGAAAUUGACGGGGGCUCACACAAGCGGUGGAGGAUGUGGCUUAAUUCGAGGCUACGCGAAGAACCUUAUCCUAGUCUUGACAUGCAUGGAUUAACCCGGUGAAAGCCGGGCCACGCCUUCGGGUGGAACAUGCACAGGUGCUGCAUGGCUGUCGUCAGCUCGUGUCGUGAGAUGUCGCGUUAAGUCGCUUAACGAGCGAAACCCUUGUCUCCAGUUGCCAGCGGGUCAUGCCGGGGACUCUGGAGAGACUGCCGGUGUUAAACCGGAGGAAGGUGGGGAUGACGUCAAGUCCUCAUGGCCUUUAUGAUUAGGGCUGCACACGUCCUACAAUGGCGCGCACAAAGGGAUGCCAAGUCGCGAGACCGAGCAAAUCCCAAAAAUCGCGCCCCAGUUCGGAUUGCAGGCUGCAACCCGCCUGCAUGAAGCCGGAAUCGCUAGUAAUCGCGGAUCAGAAUGCCGCGGUGAAUGUGUUCCUGAGCCUUGUACACACCGCCCGUCAAGCCACGAAAGUGGGGGGUAUCCGAAGUCGCCGAUGGAACCGCAAGGACCUAAGCGCCUAAGAUAAACUCCGCGAUUGGGACUAAGUCGUAACAAGGUA
rnacentral:rRNA from 1 species